GACGUAGAGAAAUAGAAAAAAGACCAACGAAUAGAGAUGUAAAUGAGACGUAGAAGAUUGUGAAGAGGAACAACGAUUAGAAAUGUAGAGGAAGAUUGUAAAUAGAAACAACGAUUAGAAAGAUAAAAGAGACACACGAGAGGGUAAUAAGGAGAAACGAAACGAAGAGAUAGAAAAAAGAGACGUAGAAAUUUUUUAUUAAAGGACUACGACUACACAGAUUGACGAGACUAACGAAAUUGAAAUGGGGGACAACUAGUAUACAAUUACGAGAUUGUAAUAACAAACAAUCAAUGCAUAGAUUUAGGAGACUUAAAAAAUGGCAAUAAGGAAAUGGUAAUAUAUUGGAAAAAAGAUAGAUCGACGAGACUUGAAUUACAUAGACAUGGUCGGAAAAAAAAUAAGUUGCUGAUAAUAUGAGAUGGAGAUAUAGGAAUAAAAGAAAAUAACAUAAAAAAAGAGUAAAAGAAUCAGAUAAAAAUAUGACAUAUCAAAAUGAUGAAAAUUUGAUAAACAAAAGGUGAAUGACAACAACAAAAAAUCUAGCAAUGGGUUCAAUGAACUUCCGAUGAACUUCAAAAAAAUGAAAAAAGGAAGAAGAAAGAGAUUGCGUGUGAAGGUAAAAAGCUAGGUAGUUAGGAGGUAGGGUACAAAUUGUAAAAGACUUCAUGGUGAUCUGUGCACAAACUGAAUAAAAAAUAAUAAAAAGACGGACGACUGAGAUGUGGAAUUGAAAGAUCGGACGGUUCAGAUAGGAUGAGCGUUUUUGAGCUCACCCUAUGCUGAGCGCACCUGAAAAAAGCUGUAAUUAAUUAUAAAAAUACAGACCAAAUAUGAAGAUGAUGGACCAAAACUGAGACAGCUCCACCAAAUAUAAAAAUGGCACCAAAUACUUAUUUAUACUUAUUUUCGUCAAAUAUAACAUCGCCUCCUCCUCCACCACCACUACUCACUGAGUUUGGAAAUUGAUCUUCCCCAUUGAAACCAUUAAAAAAAUAAUCCCAACCACUGGGUGUUUGCGCAUGAUACACAGUAGUAAGAGAGGUAGGAGAAGCAAGUGUAGGACCACUUUCCAAAUCAUUAUUGGAAAGAGAUCCAUACCCUAAACUACUAUAACCACCACCAUCACCAUUGACAAAGUUUGACGACAAUGGACUUUUUCCUCCGGCGCUACUUUGAGAAUAACUCAAACCACUACUCGAUUCAUGUGCUGAAGCAAUAAAAGUCGAAGCUGGUGCUAUAGAGGAAGAAACAAGGGAAUGAUCCAAAUAAGGAUUGCUGAAAACAACUCCAAUGCUAGAGAUUAAAAGUGCCCUAGAUGCAUAAGCCGAGCUUCGAAAGAAUAUCAACAAAAAGACAAUGGAGAUUAUUUUUGAACUAACCAUAGUUCUAUUGAAAUAUUGUGAACUAAGUUCUAAAUGAUAUAAUAUGAAGCUUAUAAAUAAGUAGGGAUUUUAUUGAUUGAUGAAAAAUAUUAAAUAAAAUAUAGGUUCUUUCAAGAUAUGUUGCGCACAACUAAUAUUAAGAAUUAUUAUUCUUGUAAUCAUUGAAAUCAAUUCAAUCCUUUUAUCUUUAGAAAUAUUAAGAACGAUAUAUUGAGCGAAUAAUGCGAAUAUAAAUUAAAAUUCCAUGUUUUAUUGCUAGAAAACGUGCUUUCUUCUAACAAAGGUAUAGUUGACUCUACCUGAACAUGAACCCUUCUUUGGAUCUUUUAGUUCGAAUUUGGACUUGAUUAAACAUGGCCAUGCCGGCAUAAACUAGUUACCCAGACCCAACUGGCAAAGCCAAUAAAUCUUCAGGUGUUGUUUGUUCAUUCACUAAAUUUACAAAGAAACAUCAUACCAGAAUAAGAGAUUUAUGGCAAUGUUGAAGGAACCUAAACCCUGAAAGUUCGUACAAUGGAUAACUGAUAACAUACAUGCUAAUCAAGCCCUUCACCAAACCUAUGAGACACAGUCGAAUAGAUUCUAGUCGAGUAUAUUGUUACAGACAGAGCAGCAACCACGGAGAUAAUUAGCAAAGACCUAGGUCGGACUGUGGAGCUCACCGGAGAAACAGAGACACCAGAGGUCAACCCAACAACUUCCGUUGAGAAGUUGGGAAUCGUCCAGACCCAACUCCAAAUAGGGGACCGCCCGACCCGAAUAAGAAAACCCUCGAUUUGGGUUACAGACUACGUCCAAUGAAGGCUGAUUAUGGGGCAUUUGCAGCAACACCCUCGAACAUCUAUAAUUAGAUUUAAGUCGUUUAAGUUUAUAUAUUUGAUUAUUGUAACCCCUUAUAUAAGGGAAAACAUUUGGAUUUUACAUUAUCGAUAAAAUUUUAUAGCAAUUCCCACAUUCACUCCUCUCGACGAUCAUCCAGACGUUACGUCUGAGUACCUGCCGCUCCGUCUCCGCCUCCGACGUCGUCGAUCGUUCUACCCGUCUCUGUGGCUCCGAUCUAUCCAUAGAUCUCUCCACCGGUUCUAUCGCAAAUCUUACGCAAAAGCCUUCGUCUUUUUGUAUCUAGAUCGUACUCCAAUCUGAGAUCGGAGACACCUCACCGGUGUCAGGUCCAUAUUCUUCCUGUCGGAAUUUAGUGGAACAUUGAUUCGGAUUUAGCCGUAUCAACUGGUGCUUUCAAAAUUAUUGAUCUCUAUUUCAGGGAAUUCUAGAAAUGGAAGCGGUAGAAGCAACUCUCAAGAGGAUGCAGGAUUUUCAACUCUCUCAAACGCGAGAGAUGACAGAGUUAAGGAAUUUGGUGCACAACAAUACACUACAGCUAGGUAAACAGAUGACAGAUCUGGCAGCUUCCAUCACUGAUGGUAGAGGGAGUGCUUCAACGGCAAUGAUUCAGCAGCCAAGGCAUAAUGAACAAAAAAUAAUCGAUCCGGAUAUAGAUCCAGAAAGGCCCAAAUAUGCAGCGUGUAUGUAUGAUAAUCGAGAGUACAUACUAUCCAAGCACAUCAAGUUCGAUAUGCCCAGAUUUGAUGGUACAAAUCCAGAACUGUGGGUGUUCAUGGCAAGGAGAUUCAUCAUCUUUCACAAUACCCCAGAAGAAUAGAAACUUAUAAUUGCAUCCUUCAAUAUGCAAUGUAUAGCUCUCAAAUGGUUUUUGUGGAUGGAGGCAAGCAACUACUUGACUACUUGGCCAGCCUUUGUGAAGUCCCUAUUAAAAAAAUUUAACCCCACUACCUAUACUAUUCCAGGGGGCAGACUGAGCACACUAGUGCAAACAUCAACUGUAGUCGAUUAUGUGGUAAAAUUUGAAGAUUAUUCUGCCAAAGUAACAGGAAUCCCUGAUUGGUUACUUCUUGAAAUAUUUUUAUCAGGACUUAAAGAUGAUACUCAGAAGGAGGUGGUGAGAGCCAAGCUUGAUGACAUCCAAGAGGCUAUAGAGCUAGCUGUUCAUUUAGAGCUCCAGGGUUCAUCUCCAGCAGGCCAGAGAAUUGGAGGAUUUAAAUCUAAUUUUUCCAGAGCACUUAUCACCAAGCCUCGAGGAGAAAACUUUUCUCAAUUAGCAAUUACUGCAGGAGGGGCAGGUGGAACUGUAGGACAGAUCAAACCAGCAAUGGCACCAACCUUUAGAAGGCUUACUUUUGCAGAGAAGAAGGAAAGGACCUCUAAGGGGCUAUGUUUUAAUUGUGACGACAAAUUCACACUAGGUCACAAGUGCAAGGGCAAAUUUUUCAGAUUGUGUGCAGAGGACAACACCCUAUGGGAAGUGGAAGAUGAAGAAGAGGAAGUAGCUGGAGAAAUUAAAUUCCUCGAAUGUGAGGAGGAAUCUGAAAUUAGGUUCCAAGCCUUACAAGGAAGAAUAGGAGUAAGAACUAUAAGGCUAGAGGGCUUUAUUAAAAGCCAGUCUGUCAGUGUAUUGAUUGAUCCAGGCUCCACUCAUAAUUUUGUCCAAGAAGAAGUUGCAUCACAAUUACAAUUGGUAAUUUGUUAUAUUAACCCCUUUAAGGUGUCCACAGGUAGUGGAAAAAAGCUUACAUGUGAUAAAGUCUGCAAGGGGGUCAAUCUGAAAAUUCAGGGAAUUAUGGUAGAAAUUGAUCUUUUUCUUCUACCUUUGGCAGGUUCUAAUGUAGUAAUUGGCACACAAUGGCUCAAGGACUUGGGUGAUGUCGUCUUCAACUACAAAGACUUGAGUAUGAAAUUCUGUUGGAAGGGGCAGCAAGUAGAAUGGAAAGGGAUCUCAUGGCUGAAUAGCAAUCCCCCAACAACUGGUGAACUGAAAUCCUUAGUGGGAGAGACCUCUGAAGCCUUUUUGUGUUACUUUGAAAAGGUGGAGGAAGAGCUUAACAACCUGAGUUCAGCAGAAGAGAAUAAAAAAAUUAGUGAGGUGGUGAAUGAAUUUCAAGAAGUGUUUGAGGAACCCCAUGGGUUACCCCCACAAAGAGAGAAUGAUCACUUCAUCCAUCUUCAGCCAAAUUCAGAUUCUGUCAAUGUCAGACCAUACAGAUACCCUCAGUAUCAGAAGGAAAAGAUUGAGAAGGUAGUAAAGGAGUUACUCCUCCAGGGUACCAUCAAACCCAACACUAGCCCCUAUUCUUCUCCAGUGUUACUAGUCAAGAAGAAAUAUGGAGGGUACAGGUUGUGUGUGGAUUAUAGGGUACUGAAUGCUAUCACCAUCAAGGAUAAGUUCCCUAUUCCAACUGUAGAUGAACUGUUGGGAGAACUGAAAGACUCGGUAAUUUUUUCUAAACUUGAUUUGAGGUCAGGUUUCCACUAAAUCAGAAUUAAUCCUUCUGACACCGAAAAAACAGCCUUCAGGACCCACCAGGCACAUUAUGAAUUUCUUGUAAUGCCCUUUGGUCUUACCAAUGCCCCGACUACUUUUCAGUGUAUAAUGAACCAGGUAUUCCAGGAAUUCUUUAAAAAAUUUGUCCUAAUUUUCUUUGAUGACAUAUUGAUCUACAGUUCAACCGUGGAGGGUCAUAUAGAACAUCUGAAAUUAGUGUUUGAGAUACUCAAGAAAAAUCAGUUAUUGGCCAAGAAGUCUAAAUGUUUAUUCGGGCAGUCCUUUAUAGGGUUUCUAAGGCACAUUAUCUCCCAAGAAGGUGUCAAUCUGGACCCUAACAAAAUCAAAGCAAUAAUGGAUUGGCCCAUACCAAAGACAAUUAAAUAGUUGAGAGGCUUUUUGGGGCUAAGUGGAUAUUAUAGAAGGUUUGUCAGAUCAUAUGCUCAGAUUGCCACCCCACUAACUAAUCUGCUCAAGAAAGACUCUUUUCUAUGGACUAAAGAAGCUACCACAAGUCUCCAAAAAUUAAAAGAAGCCUUAACCCAAGUUCCAAUAUUGCAAUUUCCUGAUUUUGAAAAGGAAUUUGUGGUAGAAACUGAUACUUACAACUCAAGUAUUGGUGCUGUAUUAUUGCAGGACAGCCACCCCAUUGCCUUUUAUAGCAGUAAAAUUAGUGGAAGAAUGGAAGCAGCAUCAGUUUAUGUAAAAGAAUUAUUUGCCAUCACCCAAGCUGUGGGUAAAUGGAGGCAUUACUUGUUGGGUAGGCACUUCACCAUAAAGACUGACCACAGAAGCCUCAAAAAUUUACUCACGCAAGUGAUCCAAACCCCAGAGCAACAAGUGUUCCCUUGUAAGUUGAUUGGGUAUGACUUCACCAUUAUCUACAAGCCAGGCAAGUAUAAUCAGGUUGCAGAUGCCUUAUCAAGAUGUUUUGAAGAGGAGGGUGAUAUAUUAUAUUCUAGUAAAAUGGAAGUAGAGGAGGGAACCCUACUGGCCUUUUCUGCACCUCUCAACUGUAUAAUUUCUGAACUCCGUGAAUUCAACAAAGCCUCACCGGAGAUCCAAACACUAGUACAAAAUAUCAAAGAAAAACAUCUGCAAUCACAAGGGUAUGAAAUUAAGAAUGGAUUAAUUUUCUGCAAGGGAAGAUACUCAAGCAAUUCUGAUUUUAUACUCAAACUGUUGAAAGAAUUCCACGACAGUUAUAUAGGGGGCACUCAGGAAUUGAUAGAACUUUCAACAGAAUUUCCACUAAUUUUUGGUGGAAGGGCAUGAUGAAAGACAUCAGAAAUUACGUUAAAAACUACAUAAUAUGCCAGAAGAUAAAGCCAAUCAAUCUCAAGAGUGGUGGGUUACUUAUGCCUCUACCUAUUCCACCUUCAGUUUGGCAUGAUUUAUCAGUCGGCUUCAUCACUCAUCUUCCUAAAGUUCAGAAUAAGUCCGUGAUCAUUGUAGUGGUUGACAGGUUAUCAAAGGGGUGUCAUUUGGGGGCUCUGCCUGCCAAUUAUAAUGCACAGAUGGUGGCUGAUUUUUUCGUCAAGGAAAUCAUAAGACUUUAUGGCUAUCCUAAUUCAAUAGUCUUGGAUAGAGACAAGGUCUUUACAUCAAAUUUCUGGAGGGAGUUAAACAAAUUAAGUGGAACUAAGCUGAAUUUUACAUCAUCCUAUCAUCCACAAAGCGAUGGUCAAACUGAAGUAGUGAAUAGAGGAGUUGAAAUGUAUCUCAAAGCACUUGCACAUGACAAGCCUUAAAAAUGGCUAUAACUCUUACCUUGGGCAGAACUAUGGUUUAAUACCAAUUUUAAUGAAUCCCUUGGAAGCACCUCAUUCAAAGUAUUGUAUGGAAAAGAUGCUCCAAUCUUUCCUCAAUUUAUACCAGUAGAUUCCUCCAUCGAGGCAGUGGAAGUCAAUUUGCAAGAGAGGAAUAAGGCAUUGAAAAAUAUCAAAACUAAUCUCUCCAGAGCACAAAACAGAAUGAAGAAAAAUGCUGAUAAGCAUAGAAGGGAGAUAGAAUUCAAAGAAGGUGAUCUAGUACUAGUGAAAUUACAACCAUACAGACAAUCAUCUACUGCCUACAGGUUUCACAACAAGUUAUGUUUGAAAUAUUUUGGACCAUUCAAGGUUAAAGAGAAGAUCAGCUCAGUGGCUUAUAAGCUAGAACUUCCAGCCGGAAGCAAGAUUCAUGAUAGUUUCCAAUCUCCAAACUUAAAGAAUUCGUUGGGACAACUCCAACUACUGUGGAUCCAUCACCACUAUUGUCAGUGGACAAUCAACCUAUACUAUACCCUAUCUCUAUUAUUGAUUACAGGUGCAUUGAUCGAAAUGGGAAGAAGAUACCUCAAUCUCUUGUGUUGUGGAGCGACGCCCUAAUGGAGGACUCUUCUUGGGAGGACGACCUGGAGUUGCAGCGUGCGUUUCCCUCUAUACACCUUGAGGACAAGGUGAAUCCUUGGGGAGGUGGCCAUGUUAAAGACAGAGCAGCAACCACGAAGAUAAUUAGCAAAGACCUAGGUUGGACUGUGGAGCUCACCGGAGAAACAGAGAUACCGGAGGUCAACCCAACAACUUCCGUUGAAAAGUUGGGAAUCGCCCAGACCCAGCUCCAAAUAGGGGACCGCCCGACCCGAAUAAGAAAACCCUCGAUUUGGGUUACAGACUACGCCUAAUGAAGGUUGAUUAUGGGGGCAUUUGCAGCAACACCCUC
rnacentral:lncRNA from 1 species